rnacentral:rRNA from 1 species
UAAGAAUUUAAAAGUCGAACAGACUUAUUUACUAAGAGUACUACCUCUUAAAAUUAUCUUAAUUCAACAUCGAGGUCGCAAAAUAAAAUAUAGAUAUGAACUCCCCAUUUAAAUUACGCUGUUAUCCCUAAGGUAACUUUAUCUUAUUAUCUCAUUCUUUUAGGAUCUAAAAUUACAUAAACAAAUGAUUAUAAAAACUAAAGUUAGCUAUUUAGUUACCACCCCAGCAAAAUAUUAAACAAACACUAAAAACUUUAUUAAAUAAAAAUCUAUAACAAAUUAAAUAAUAUAAAGUUCUAUAGGGUCUUAUCGUCCCAAUAAACUAUUAAAGCAUUUUAACUUUAAAUUUAAAUUUUAACAUUUAAAGAAAUAAAAUAUAAUUCUCGUACAUCCAUUCAUACAAGCUUUCAAUUAAAAAACUAAUUACUACGCUACCUUUGCACAGUCAAAAUACUGCAGCCAUUUAGAAAAAACCAUAGGGCAGAAGAUACUUUUUAUAAAAAACCA